UACGUAGGGUGCAAGCGUUAAUCGGAAUUACUGGGCGUAAAGCGUGCGCAGGCGGUUUUGUAAGUUUGUCGUGAAAGCCCCGGGCUCAACCUGGGAAUUGCGAUGAAGACUGCAAGGCUUUGAAUCCGGCAGAGGGGGGUAGAAUUCCACGUGUAGCAGUGAAAUGCGUAGAGAUGUGGAGGAACACCGAUGGCGAAGGCAGCCCCCCUGGGUC
rnacentral:rRNA from 1 species